UCGUUGAUUUCACACUGCCGAGAAAAGCCUCUAGAUAGAAAAUAGGUGCCCGUACCGCAAACCGACACAGGUAGUCAAGAUGAGAAUUCUAAGGUGAGCGAGCGAACUCUCGUUAAGGAACUCGGCAAAAUGACCCCGUAACUUCGGGAGAAGGGGUGCUCUUUAGGGUUAACGCCCAGAAGAGCCGCAGUGAAUAGGCCCAAGCGACUGUUUAUCAAAAACACAGGUCUCUGCUAAACCGUAAGGUGAUGUAUAGGGGCUGACGCCUGCCCGGUGCUGGAAGGUUAAGAGGAGUGGUUAGCUUCUGCGAAGCUACGAAUCGAAGCCCCAGUAAACGGCGGCCGUAACUAUAACGGUCCUAAGGUAGCGAAAUUCCUUGUCGGGUAAGUUCCGACCCGCACGAAAGGCGUAACGAUUUGGGCACUGUCUCAACGAGAGACUCGGUGAAAUCAUAGUACCUGUGAAGAUGCAGGUUACCCGCGACAGGACGGAAAGACCCCGUGGAGCUUUA
rnacentral:rRNA from 1 species